rnacentral:rRNA from 1 species
CGGACGGGUGAGUAACACGUGAGCAACCUGCCUUUCAGAGGGGAAUAACGUUUGGAAACGAACGCUAAUACCGCAUAACAUUCUGUUCUCGCAUGGGGAUAGAAUCAAAGGAGCAAUCCGCUGAAAGAUGGGCUCGCGUCCGAUUAGCCAGUUGGCGGGGUAACGGCCCACCAAAGCGACGAUCGGUAGCCGGACUGAGAGGUUGAACGGCCACAUUGGGACUGAGACACGGCCCAG